rnacentral:hammerhead_ribozyme from 1 species
GCACUGCUGACGAGUCCUCAAAACAGGACGAAACAGCUGUCCAGUGC